rnacentral:misc_RNA from 1 species
GUUCCAAGCUGGUAAGCUUUCUUUCUGUAAUUUUAUUUCUCUCAAUUAUAAUAGUAAUGUAGCUGUUCAAUAUUGUGAAACCCGUUGCCUGUUGAAAUCUUUUUGUGUCUUAGAAUUAUCAAGUACUUAUGCGUGUUGAAAGUUUUGAGGACUUAUCUUUGACAUUUCUAAGAUGAUAGUUUGGCCAAAAAUAAGAGAAAGAUGCAAGAAGAUUAUAGUCAGCAGUACUCAAAUCUUCCUAGGUUGCCCAAUGUCUGUGUUGGGUAGUCUGAAGCCAGAAAAUUUAGUUUUAGAUUUUGGGUGUUUCUAUGUAAUUUAUUCACUUGAUUCAUCUUGGAAUAUUCAAUUAUUAAAGUUUAAAGAAGAGGCUUUUUGUUAAGUAACUUGCGUGUUUGCAUUAAAUUAUUGAAUCUUGAGUGAGUGAUCUGGGAAGAUACGAGGGCAUGUUUUACUUAUACUUCAUACUUGGUUGAAUCAUCAUUGUAACCUUUAUGAUUAUUUAAUGAAUGCACGCAUGUCAUUUAAAUAAAGAAAAGGAAAUCUGACUACCUUUGUCCUGAAGUGCAUGAGCAGGUUUUGAAACAUCAAUGCUAAGAGAAAACCAAUAUUUGAAAG